ACCCUAUAGAUCCGGCCAACCUCGGGAAACUGAGGCUAAUCCGGGAUAACGCUUUCAGCCUGGAGUGGCGAGAGCGCGAAACGCUCCGGCGCUAUAGGAUGUGGCUGCGGCCGAUUAGGUAGACGGUGGGGUAACGGCCCACCGUGCCAGUAAUCGGUACGGGUUGUGAGAGCAAGAGCCCGGAGACGGUAUCUGAGACAAGAUACCGGGCCCUACGGGGCGCAGCAGGCGCGAAACCUUUACACUGCACGCGAGUGCGAUAAGGGGACUCCAGGUGCGAGGGCAUAUAGUCCUCGCUUUUCUCGACCGUAGGGAGGUCGAGGAACAAGUGCUGGGCAAGACCGGUGCCAGCCGCCGCGGUAAUACCGGCAGCACAAGUGAUGACCGCUGUUAUUGGGCCUAAAGCGUCCGUAGCUGGCCAGACAAGUUCAUCGGGAAAUCUGCGCGCCUAACGCGCAGGCGUCCGGUGGAAACUGCCUGGCUUGGGA
rnacentral:rRNA from 1 species